rnacentral:ncRNA from 1 species
UCUUAUAAAGAGAGGCGGAGGGACAGGCCCGGUGAAGCCCAGCAACCUAUUAAAUUAGGUGCUACAUCCUGCAGGUACAUCCUGAGAGAUAAGA